UAAGGAAUAUUGCGCAAUGGGGGAAACCCUGACGCAGCAACGCCGCGUGGAGGAUGACACUUUUCGGAGCGUAAACUCCUUUUAUCAGGAAAGAAUAAUGACGGUACCUGAUGAAUAAGCACCGGCUAACUCCGUGCCAGCAGCCGCGGUAAUACGGGGGGUGCAAGCGUUACUCGGAAUCACUGGGCGUAAAGGACGCGUAGGCGGAUUAUCAAGUCUUUUGUGAAAUCUAGUGGCUUAACCACUAAACUGCUUAGGAAACUGAUAGUCUAGAGUAGGGGAGAGGUAGAUGGAAUUCUUGGUCUAGGGGUAAAAUCCGUAGAGAUCAAGAAGAAUACCCAUUGCGAAAGCGAUCUGCUGGAACCUAACUGACGCUGAGGCGUGAAAGCGUGGGUAGCAAACAGG
rnacentral:rRNA from 1 species